rnacentral:misc_RNA from 1 species
UCGCGGCUUAUCACCGGCAGUCCCCUUAGAGUGCCCAACUGAAUGAUGGCAACUAAGGGCGAGGGUUGCGCUCGUUGCGGGACUUAACCCAACAUCUCACGACACGAGCUGACGACGGCCAUGCAUCAUCUGUCACCAAGUUCAAUAAAGCACUCACUCCUUUCGGAGUAAUUCUUGGGAUGUCAAACCCUGGUAAGGUUCUUCGUUUAGCAUCGAAUUAAAGAACACGAUCCGCUACUUGUGCGGGUCCCCGUCAAUUCCUUUAUGUUUUAGUCUUGCGACCGUACUCCACAGGCGGAUUGCUUAUCGCGUUAGCUGCGGCACGACGGGAUUGGGUACCCGCCACACCAAGCAAUCAUCGUUUAGGGCUAGGACUAC